CCGGACUAUUUUUGAAGUUGCAUUGUGCCAGUGUCUUUUGUAGAAAAGUGCUCCCAUUCCCACAACCAUGAUGCAAGCGAAUGCCAGGAUGCCCACAGCUACGCCGAGACCCACCGAGGAGUCCACUGGUUUUUUCGUACUGAAUGACACAUCUGAGAUGCAAAGACAUGAGGGACUUACCGUUCUCUGCACGUAUGACGAUGGCUGGUGACGUGAUGGUAGUGCUCUCUGAGACUCCAUUUGAAGGACUGAUGGGAGCAACGUCUCUCCUUUUUCGUUUGCGACAUUGCUGUGGAAAGAGCCAUAGAUCCUGGUUAGUCCAAAAAGUGUCCGGUCCAAUACUUGUCUGGGUUGGUUGCUUUUACGGCGGCGAACACUCGUGUCUUCAAAGUCAGUCCAGAC